AUGGGGAAGGUGUGCUGCAGCAGCGAGUCGGAGGAGGAGGCGGGGUUCAGCUUCCUGGGGCUCCUCGUCGCGGCCGUCAUCGCCCUGGUGUUCAUGCUCCUCUGCACCCCGCCGAAGCGGCGCUCCGUCACCAUCUACCCGUGCUGUUGA
rnacentral:rRNA from 1 species